rnacentral:tRNA from 1 species
GCCUUCGUGGUGUAGUGGUCAACACACUCGGCGCAUAUUCGAGAGGUCCGUGGUUCGAGUCCCGCCGAGGGCA